UGGGGAAUAUUGCACAAUGGGCGCAAGCCUGAUGCAGCGACGCCGCGUGAGGGAUGACGGCCUUCGGGUUGUAAACCUCUUUCAGCUCCGACGAAGCGCAAGUGACGGUAGGAGCAGAAGAAGCACCGGCCAACUACGUGCCAGCAGCCGCGGUAAUACGUAGGGUGCAAGCGUUGUCCGGAAUUACUGGGCGUAAAGAGCUCGUAGGCGGUUUGUCGCGUCGUCUGUGAAAUUCUGCAGCUUAACUGCAGGCGUGCAGGCGAUACGGGCAGACUUGAGUACUACAGGGGAGACUGGAAUUCCUGGUGUAGCGGUGAAAUGCGCAGAUAUCAGGAGGAACACCGGUGGCGAAGGCGGGUCUCUGGGUAGUAACUGACGCUGAGGAGCGAAAGCGUGGGUAGCGAACAGG
rnacentral:rRNA from 3 species